CACCGGUUCAAACCGAUGCCAACUUAAAAAAAAUAUAUAUAGUAUGGAAGAGAGUUGGCACCGGUUCGCCUUAAACCGGUACCAACUAUGGUAAUUAGCACCGGUUCAAACCGGUGCCAUUUUUGAAAAAAAAAACCCCGGUUUCGUUAUGUAGUAUACUCUUUCUUUCUCUUGCUUUCAUUUCCUCAAUCUUUCCUCCUCUCUCAUCUGAUCUGCCUCUCUCUCCCCUCCAUUGAAGCUUUCUCUCACUUUCCUCAAACUCCUUCUCUCUCCUUCGAUCUCUAUAACCGCCACUUUCCUUUUCCUUUCAUCUCGAUCUCUUUCGAUCUCCUUCUCCUUCUCUCUUUGAGGUUAGGGUUUCUGGGUGCGUCUAUUUUGAAUCAAUUCGAUGUGCGUGCGUCUUCAACAACAACAAAUUCGAAUCAAUUUCGAACCAAAAAUAAGAAAUUCGAGGUGUCACUCAUGCCUUGGUAACAAGGGGGUGCUGGUUUUAUUGGAUCACAUGCAGCACUAACACUUUUAAGACUUGUAUCAUGAGACAAUUGUGGUAUCCUCUCCCUUCAAUCAUCCUUACUGUCCACUAAUCUUUCUCGUGUGCAGAUGCAUCUAAAACUAGUACUGAAAAAGAAGCAAUGCAGAACACAGUUCGUAAAGCAAGUCGAGCUCUCACAGAGCAAGAAGCAAGACAGAUUGUGUGUUGGUGACUAAUGAGACCCUGCUGUUGUGUGGUGUAUGUACACGUACGAUAAAGAAGCUAGACUUCAGCGCAUUAAAGCAUACGUAGGCUUCUUAAACGAGACUAGCAACCCAAUCAAAAACAGACCAGCAGCCCACCAAAACAGCAGCACCAUCCUACACCACUACUGCUCAGAACCCAAACAGCAGCCCAACCAGUACAGAGCAGACACCAGCAAUCCCUGUAGGAAAACAGGCAGACAGACAGCACCAGCUGAGCAUAAAGUCAAAGGAGACAGACUCUAAAUCCAUGAGCAGCAGCUUCCAGCAAGUCCUGACAGCAGCCUGCACAGAAAACAGACACAUCUGCAUCACCACCAAGAACCAGCCUAGCAACACAGCAGCUCAACAUCACAGCUCCCCAGAAUACCAGCAACAUGGCUGCAAAAGGAAAACAGACAACAGCACGGUAGUAUCAACACAACAAACUUCUCAACAAACUAGAACAAGAUCCAAGUGUACUAGUCAUCAUUCAACUGAAAUCUCAAGUGUUUUUUUUUUUUUUUUUUUUUUUUUUUUUUUUUUUUUUUUUUAGUU